rnacentral:rRNA from 1 species
AUUGAACGCUGGCGGCAUGCUUUACACAUGCAAGUCGAACGGUAACAGGCCGCCAGGUGCUGACGAGUGGCGUACGGGUGAGUAAUGCAUCGGAACGUGCCCAGUCGUGGGGGAUAACUACUCGAAAGAGUAGCUAAUACCGCAUACGAUCUAUGGAUGAAAGCGGGGGACCGUAAGGCCUCGCGCGAUUGGAGCGGCCGAUGUCAGAUUAGGUAGUUGGUGGGGUAAAGGCUCACCAAGCCAACGAUCUGUAGCUGGUCUGAGAGGACGACCAGCCACACUGGGACUGAGACACGGCCCAGACUCCUACGGGAGGCAGCAGUGGGGAAUUUUGGACAAUGGGCGCAAGCCUGAUCCAGCAAUGCCGCGUGCAGGAAGAAGGCCUUCGGGUUGUAAACUGCUUUUGUACGGAACGAAACGGCUCUGGUUAAUACCCGGGGCUAAUGACGGUACCGUAAGAAUAAGCACCGGCUAACUACGUG